UACGUAGGGACCGAGCGUUGUCCGGAUUCAUUGGGCGUAAAGAGCUCGUAGGCGGCUGUUCAAGUCGAACGUGAAAACUCGGAGCUCAACUCCGAGCCUGCGUUCGAUACUGGACGGCUAGAGUCUGGUAGGGGGAUCUGGAAUUCCUGGUGUAGCGGUGGAAUGCGCAGAUAUCAGGAGGAACACCGGUGGCGAAAGCGGCUCUCUGGUCCAAAACUGACGCUGAGGGGCGAAAGCGUGGGGAGCGAACGGG
rnacentral:rRNA from 1 species